rnacentral:misc_RNA from 1 species
UACCUCUUCAGGCUCUGCUUGGUGUUGGGUGCUUGCCUUGCUAGGCUCACCUUAAAGAGAUGAGUGCUUGCGAAGCCCGUAAGUAGCGGAGUAGAAUCUGCUUCCUGGGGGCUGUUCGGGGCACUGUAAACCUAUUUUCACC